UUAUAAGGUGGGCAUGCGUGGGGCUCCUUGUGAGCGCCGGGUUUCUAAUUUUCGACCGGUCUACCAACCCACGUAUGCCCGCCACCCUU
rnacentral:antisense_RNA from 1 species